CCUUGUUUCAACUAGCCUAAUCCCCAUGCCCCUUUCCCUUAUCUCCCUCCCUUUCUCCCUCCUCCACCCCCUAUUCUCUCUUUUCCUCUCUUCCCCUCCCCUACUUCCUCCCUUUAAUUGAGAAGGCCUCAGUACUGCCCAGGUUUGCUGGAACCAACAAUUACAGCAGCCUCUGGAAGAGCAACUUUGGAGAACUGAAGGAGACAAGAGGUCACACUACCAGGGGUCAAGAGUUAACUACAAG
rnacentral:lncRNA from 1 species